AUACGAAGGGUGCAAGCGUUAAUCGGAAUUACUGGGCGUAAAGGGUGCGUAGGCGGUUAUUUAAGUCUGCCGUGAAAUCCCCGGGCUCAACCUGGGAAUGGCGGUGGAUACUGGAUAGCUAGAGUGUGUCAGAGGAUGGUGGAAUUCCCGGUGUAGCGGUGAAAUGCGUAGAGAUCGGGAGGAACAUCAGUGGCGAAGGCGGCCAUCUGGGACAACACUGACGCUGAAGCACGAAAGCGUGGGGAGC
rnacentral:rRNA from 1 species